GACGAACGCUGGCGGCGUGCUUAACACAUGCAAGUCGAACGGUAAGGCCCUUCGGGGUACACGAGUGGCGAACGGGUGAGUAACACGUGGGUGAUCUGCCCUGCACUUCGGGAUAAGCCUGGGAAACUGGGUCUAAUACCGGAUAGGACCACUGCCUGCAUGGGUGGUGGUGGAAAGCUUUUGCGGUGUGGGAUGGGCCCGCGGCCUAUCAGCUUGUUGGUGGGGUGAUGGGCUACCAAGGCGACGACGGGUAGCCGGCCUGAGAGGGUGACCGGGCACACUGGGACUGAGAUACGGCCCAGACUCCUACGGGAGGCAGCAGUGGGGAAUAUUGCACAAUGGGCGCAAACCUGAUGCAGCGACGCCGCGUGAGGGAUGACGGCCUUCGGGUUGUAAACCUCUUUCAGCACCGACGAAGCGCAAGUGACGGUAGAUGCAGAAGAAGGACCGGCCAACUACGUGCCAGCCGCCGCGGUAA
rnacentral:rRNA from 1 species